UUUGUUAGGUUUGUAGUAUAUUUGGGACAUAUAUUGUGAAGGCAAAUAUGAUGUCAUAAGUGCCUUUAGAAAACCAUUAAAAUACAAAACAAUGAGUGAACUCUACAAUGCCUGAAAAUGCACUGACUUUAAGCUAAGCUGCAUGGAAUUUGACCUUGGCACAAAUGAUGGUAUUUCUCCACUUCCUUUCUGACCUGUGCCUUUUCAGACGAUUUGUAGAUUUAAUUUACAAUACAUUUCCAUAUACAGAGGAAAAGUGCUACAACUUUAUCUGUCCAUGGAGUCCCAGCAGCCUCAUCUUACCAGAUGUUCCUUAGUCAUUUAAACAGUGCAUUGAGCUUUGCUUAGUGUGAUAAUUUUGAAAUGCAAAGAGUGUGGGGACACAUAAUGAAGAGUUAGAGGUAGUGGCUGUAAGGGUAAAAUGUUUCAAGGAAAAAACCUAUUGCCAUGUGUCCAGCUGCAUUACCUUUAGCUGCGGGUAUUAAUUGUUGUGCAAACACCUACAGGUCACUCUGAGCAUAAACUAUGUUUUGAUUUCUUAAGGCCAGAAACCUGAUCAAUAACCUUCACUUAAAAAUAGGACCUCACUGCAGGGAUGUCUUUAUUUUGACUCAAAGCCUUCUGAUUACCAGAUUGAUUUUUACUGCAGCAGUGAGUGUAACUGGCUCUGUGGUGAGAAGGUUUGUCACCCACUGCACCAACCCAUAGCAGGGCUGGUGGGAACCGCUGUCUUGACCACCAGCAUUACCUCUGAGCACCAAGCUGCCAGACUUAUCGCUGGGUUACAAAAUAUAGCUUGCAGAUGAGGGAGCGUGUGAAGAACAGUUUAUGCAGGCAUGCCUUCCUAUCCCUUUGAGCAGGAACAACUGACCUGGUUCUCCAGGGACUGGCUCCUUCUUGUAGCAUUCUGGUUUUCACUCUAUUUGUGUACAGCCCUUGAUCUCUGCAGUAGCACCAGCCCAGGCCAGGCAUCACCCUAGAAGCAGCUUAAAUGCAGUGCUAUUGCCAGGAGCUCUGUAAGGGACUUUAGUGAGUGUCAGGAUCUGGAGCAGAGAUACAGGGAGUUGUAGUAUCUAUAUGUUGAAAAGCAAUCACUGAUGAGAACUCACCCCCUUUCCUCAUCAGAGAGACUGGAGGUGCCCACAGCCCCUCAGUUUCAUCAGUGAGUGGAUGUAUGGUCCCUAGUUGCCAACUGGGGUUAAACCACUACGAUGCUGUACCUUGCUUCAAAACAGACCAUAUGGGCAAGCCUAGAGCUGGGCAAUGAAUGGAAGGAGAUUUCCCAAAGGUAAGAGCAUUGACAACCCCUGGCCAGCUUCUUGAAAAAGUACAAGCUCGGUGAAAAAAAGAAAUUUCAUUUUCACUCAGUUCACACACCAAAACCAUCAUCUUUUUCACCAGUUGAAAGAAAAACCCAGAGUUCAUGUUUGCUAACGAAGUUGAAAUCUAAGAAUCCACAUAGUUGCAUGAGUAUUUUUCCCUUAAGGAAGCAUCAGGUAUGUUUAUUGGCAUUCAAGUUUCUUAGAGUUUAAAACACUUUCACCUCUUCUCCGAUAACUUGCCGAAAUAGUAAAAAUAUCUCAAUCUUAUUCAACUUUGCAGUAAAUUAUUUUUGCUAUAUUUACAGCAAGGUCAAUUUUUUCUCCCUGAAUUUCAUUGCAUAUAAUUCAUUUGAAUGGGGUGGCUUUUAUGUCAUCCUUAAUCUUCUAAAUGCAUCUUAUGUCCAAAUUAUAAAUCCUAGAAAGGAAUGACCUAUAAUGAAUUCUUAACUACAACUUUAUGGCAGAACAAAUACACUUCUCUAAUAUGCAAACUGUUAAAUGUUUUCUUAUCAUACUAAAAGUGUGAAUUAAAUUAUAAUAUGAUGAAAAAGCAGCAGUUUGCAGUAAUUCCAAAUGUGGCAAAUCUUCAGUAGUGCAUAAAAUUACUCAGUGAACUGUGGAAAACAUCAGAGCAAUUCUAGCCUUAAAGCUUUUCUUCCAACAACCAAAAAGUGCCAAAAACAAGCAAGCAUAGCUAAGCAUUUCAUCUUGGAAGCAGCUUAUUGAAUUAAUAAGACAAGUCAAUUAAUGUAAUGCUCUGUUGCUUCAGGAUAAAACAUGAAAAGGAAAAAUAUGGAGCUGUUUACUGUAGUGAGAUCAAGCAACCAUGAAGUUUGUAAAGCUGAAGUUGCUCUCUUCUCUAAAUCCUAAGGAAAUUAUCAACAUGGCCAUUGUAUAUGUUCGCUUUAUAUGUAAGUAAUCUGUGAGAUGUGGAUCUUCUGCUGUCCGGACACUGGUUUUAAUAUCAAUUUGCUCCUGUUAUGAGUCUGUUUUGCCUCUGUACUGCAUAAACUUGAAACUGAAUAGCCACUAUCGUUCACACUGGUGAAUGCUGGGUUAUGUUUGAUGAGCUCACCUGUGUCCCAGGGCAUCUUAGUGCUAACAGGUGAGGAAAGUUACCACUGAGGUGUGUGGGGUAUUUCACAUGUGUAGUGUUCUACAUUCAGUUUAGCCUGUGCCUUGUACAGCAGUGAAGAGAAUCGUGAUCUGCAGGUGGAAACUGACUGUAUUACAGCAGAACAGCCUGUGGUUAAGGUUUC
ensembl:lncRNA